rnacentral:lncRNA from 1 species
CCUUGCGACAUCAAUAGACACUGCCCCCACAAUAAAGAAAAAGCCAAGAAAAUGAUUUCUUUCACAUGACCCAAGAGUAAAAAUAUUUGACAUACAAAUAACUUCAGUGUAAAAACCCAUCACGCCACCCCACGCCACCCCCACUCCCACGCCCACUCCUUUCUCUGCUAGUGUUUUCUGUCGAGCUUUUGCAGCAAAUUUGGCUCUGAAAUCAGUAACAGAAAAGUUUCCAACAAAACUAUGAGCUGAAAACACAAAAUUUUUAUUACACUGCAGCAAAAUCUAUGCAUAUUGAAUCUUCAUCCCCACUGCACCCACCCCACCCCCCACCAUUGACCUUGCUGCUAUCUUCUUUAAACUCCAAGGUAUCCACCUAAACAAAAAGUUCGACAUACUUUAUGAAAAUUCCUUUCCAUUUUCAACCCACGUCUAGAAAUCAUUUUUUUCUGCUGAAGAAAUAAGUAAAAGUAGAGAAGCUUUUUUGGAUCGGAAUCCCAUGCCAUGACUAGGGAUUUUCACAAGAAAGGUAAACAUAUGGGCAGAGAAUUGGGUUGCUUCUUGUGUAUUCUUCUGCUGAUUCUUGCACAGUGGGAGAUUAAUCCAUGUUUUGCAGUAAGAGAUCAAAAUGCUUCUUUUUCUGCUAUGGAUUCUAUUAAAAUCCAUAAGGGCUCCAAAGAAAAUGCAACGGAAAAGAAUGGAAAAAAUAAUUUUGGUGCAGAAAUGAGGAAAGUUUACACAGGUCCAAAUCCUCUACACAACAGAUAAGUAGCAGCAAAAAUUUACCAAGCUUAAAUUCUCUCAUUCAGGCUUAAUAUAUAUAUAUAUUUUUUGGUUUUUAAUUUACAUGGCAUUUUUUCCCUUUGAUCUUCUCAUUUACCUUUUGCAACGAAAAAAUCAGAUUACAUCGUCCACAACGAGAAUAACUUCAUCGUUGGGUCAUCGAAAAAGGUCGGUGAAGCGAAAAUCUGUUAUCUGUGGGCUCCUGUAAACCUUACAUUUGUAUAUGAAAAUUAUUUAUGAGUUUUUGUUGAGAAAAUAUGUUUAUUUGUUUGAAGAAGAGUUAUAAAACAUGAAAUAAUAUUUUUUAGUUCACAAUUUUCUGAAUAAUAAUGCCACUAGAUAAUGCAGUUUUUGGUAUGAUGAAUGUCUGAUAUUUUCUACAGUUGUUUGUCAAAUUCAUCUUGUAACAAUGACAUAGUGAAGAAAUGUCUUUGCAUAGUUAUUUAUUUAUUUUAAAUUUUUUUAUCUUCCAUUUAUAAUCUCAUAAAACUCAUUUUAUAAUCAAACAUAUGAAUAUAUAUGUACCUACAGUAGAUGGAUAUGAAUAUAUUAGAUUAUAUUGGAU